rnacentral:lncRNA from 1 species
AACACGUGAGUAGCACGUGAUGAACCCCCUCCUUCAUCGCUGGCUUUAAAUUACUCGGCAAGGUAUUAGCUGCUCCACGUGUAGAUAUUAAGAUUAAUAGAAAUAUCCCAAACCCCUCCUAGUCAUUCUGCAUUUAGAUUUUAGCUUACAACAACUGGAAAACCCUCCGUACUUAACUUUUUAGACAUUUUAUAUCUUUAUAAAAUAAAAUCAGAAACAAAGAAAAUUAAAAGAAAAAGAAAAUAGAUCGUGCGAGUCCAAAUUUCCAAUUCUAAAAUUCUCUCUUUCUUCAUUUCUUCUUCUCCAUGGAAACUUGUGGAACACUUCACUUUUUGACAUUCAAAGUUGUUUAUAGAAACUUGUAGGCAUUCACAGUCGCAGCGUUAGUAGAUAUUUGAAUUGAAGAAUUGAUCAGUUGAAAGUUCGCGAAGAUGUUGGAAGAUCAGGUAGC